UUUUCACUGUUUGCAAUGUAAAAAUUAUAAUAAAAGCAAUCAGAGUUAGGCUAAUUCAAGUUGACUCCUCUGUAAUUCUCCUGGUUGCCCCCUAAAAAACGUAAUGUGAAAACGUGCCUGAUAAUUGAUUCGUGUUUGGCCGGACCGGAUUUAUGAUUUGCCCAACAUUGUAGCCUUUACAAUAUAGACCAACGCGUGGUCAUUGCUGUGGUGAGCGAGAGAGAAGCGCGCCUGUAUCUCGCACAGAACUAGAAUAGGAUUCACUUUCUUUGAUAUCUCCCCUCUCUCUACUCUAAUAGACAUGAGCCUGCAACUCUCAUCUCUCCAGCGUUGCACUUCAUCAUUUAUUUCCUUAUAGAAUCAUAGCAGCGCGAAGGGUUGGAGGCGCCGCAGCAGCACCCCUGAUAAAUAGAAAUACAUUUGCCAAAGUUAUAGAAUUACUGCUGUCUGUUCAGACAGAAAUGAAAUAACGCCGAAUACUACACCAGGAGUAACUUAGCCACAGAUGAUCAAUAGUUUAUUUGAAAAAAAUUGCCUAGCUGUGGAUUGUGUGUAGCCCAAUCACGAGGCAUGACUACAGUCGGGAACGCGCGGAAGAGCAGCUUCAGCAAACCACAGAGCCACAGGAGGCCUUCAUUCACGAUGAUGAACCAUCUGAGAGUGUCUAAACCAGAGGCUGAUAGGGACUGGUUUCUCAGGUCUUUGCACAGGUGGCUGUAACCGGAGGAACCUACCCUGGCCUCUCCCCCAUGAUCAUCAUGAACAACAUCCUCCUAAAUCAGAGGUGAGCAGUUGCCAGGGUGACAACGACAGCUGCCAAGAUGGCCUCUCCACAGACAACCACAAAGUGAAACGCUUCUGCAACACCUACAACAUCCUCAACAACUCUGGAUUGCUUGGCAUAGCGCUGCGCACCAAGGAGCUGAUCAGGCAGAACCGGUGCACCCAGGGCCAGAUGCAGCAGCUGCAGGAGCAGACAGAUCUGUUUUUGGAGGCCUUGGGCAGUGGUGUCCCCCUGGUCUAGGCUCCAGCAGCAAGACACAGGCUCUGCCAGGGCAGGGGAGGGGCAGUGUCAGGCCAUGGAUCCACAGGGUAUCCUGGCAUAAGACACUAGCAGAAGGAGGGGAACGCAUCAUAAGCACCUGCUGUAAACCAGUACAAAUUGAGAAACACACUUAACCUUUGAACCCUUGCCUAUAAUCAGUGUUCUGUCCAAAUAGCAAGUACUGCUUGCAAUAGGGAUAUGGCUUCUAGAUGAAUACAUCUACCAAUGCAUGAAGCACAUGCAUGGAAUAGAUAUGGAUAAAUUGUAUAAUUAAUUCCUCAUCCAUACCUGUCCAGAACAGUAACUAAUCUAUUAUGAACAAUUAAAAAAAAAAAAAAAAAGUAUGGCAACAAUAGUCAUUUUUGGGUCCAAAAUGUAAAGAUUGUCUAAGUAGACCAGACAUUAGAGUUGUGUAUAUUUUAAAUUGCUUUAAAAACAUUAACCAAUGAGAAGCAAUUGGGAAGAGCUAUUAAAUAUUUCAUUAGUGAUCUUAUUUAAUCAGACAAUAUUGUAGCUAGCCUAGCAAUAUGUCCUCUUCAGUAUUUUUCUGUCUACUAGAGCAGCGUUAGAUUGUAUAUUACUCAUUGUGAUUUUUCAGAGGGCUGUACAUACAUUUUUGUAUUAUUAUUCUAAUGUACAUCUAGUGAAAUAAGGCCUGGUUGUUGAUUAUGCUAUUUAUUUUCAACCUAGCUUUGAAUUAGGACAACAUCAAGAACUGAGUCGAGUAAAGUUAAACACAUAGUUACAAUGCACCUUCUAUGAAUUAAAUACAUAAAAUUGAGUUCCUGUUCAAUACAAUAAAUGAUAGCUACUGAAGUGCCUGCACCCUUCUUAUCUAUGUUAUUGAAAUAAUUACUUGCAUAAUAGUUUGUAAUAUAUAUGACAUCAUGAUAUUUAAUUCAACAUUUUAGGUGAAAAACCCACCAAUGGUUGCUGGCUAAUAAAAAUUUUCAUACUGUUUUUCACUCAGAUCUGACUGGAGCCAGAUGGCUGAUGAAAAGUAGCAUUGUGUUGAUUAGUAUCUCUCUUAAUCAAACUACUUCUCCACAUAUUGUGCAUAACACACAGAAAUAUAUUUUUAAUAUUUUAAGUUAUUACUAGUCAGCUCGUUUGUAAUUUACUAGAAUCAGACUCUUUGUGCGAAAGUGUCUUCAGCAAAAGCAGCUUUCUUGUUUUAAAGGACUUUACUCAAACAUUAAUUUAGGGGGAGGGGUGAUGCAGUGCAUUUUAGGGCCUUUGUGCUUGAUACAAUCAAAGUAAAAUGUGUUGGAAUGUAUCGUAUUUAUUUUCAAAUGCUAUUAGAAACUACUUCUUAUUCUAAGAUUAUAUUUUAAAUGUGUUUUCUUAAUGCUUGAAUGCAAGUUCCAUGUAUGAUUUUCAUUGUUUUUCUUUCUUUGUGUAUUGGCCAAUUAUUUUAUAUUGCCUGUAAAAUGCUCUUAGUUCUUCAACUUUAACAAGAAGAGAAACUUAAAACUACUGCCAAAUGUCAGUCAUACAUGGGUAUGUCCCUUGAAUUACAAAAUCCUAAAAUGUAAUGCUCUUAUGGGUUUGUCCAGUGUGAUUAGAAUGAUAUUAGUUACAGUAGCUCUUACUUGACUGUAAAUCUAUUUACUAGAAUGUAGCAUUUGCUGAUAAAGUAUGUUUGUCUUACAAGUGAUGUGGGUACUAAUAAUUAAUUCAUCAAUGUUACAAUGACUCUAAAAGGUUUAGGUACAAGCAACACUUUGAUUGGCUCUUUAAUAGUAAUACAGUAACUAGCUUUGUUUGUGUGUAUAUAGUGUGUUUUUGUUGCAAGACAUCAGCGAUUUGGAAGUAUUGAUUCGUUAUCAAAAUUGGUAUGACAAAAUACUGCAAUCAGCAGUACAAAGUAAAUGUAAUUAUUUGCUACAUUAGCAUAUAGCUUUGGAGAAUGGCACAAAGACAUGCUGUUAUUUUACUCAUCAUUUACUGAAGUGCACUUUUGUACUUUUUAAAACAAAGAUAAUUUGCAUUGACAUGGUUGCUUAAUAAACAAAGUGGUUUAGAAAUUCA